GACGAACGCUGGCGGCGUGCCUAAUACAUGCAAGUGGAACGCACUGAUGAAGCCGUAGCUUGCUACAAUUUCAUCAGUGAGUCGCGAACGGGUGAGUAACGCGUAGGUAACCUGCCUGGUAGCGGGGGAUAACUAUUGGAAACGAUAGCUAAUACCGCAUAAGACAUUUUACUGCAUGGUAAGAUGUUAAAAGAUGCAACUGCAUCACUACCAGAUGGACCUGCGUUGUAUUAGCUAGUUGGUGAGGUAACGGCUCACCAAGGCCACGAUACAUAGCCGACCUGAGAGGAUGAUCGGCCACACUGGGACUGAGACACGGCCCAGACUCCUACGGGAGGCAGCAGUAGGGAAUCUUCGGCAAUGGGGGGAACCCUGACCGAGCAACGCCGCGUGAGUGAAGAAGGUUUUCGGAUCGUAAAGCUCUGUUGUAAGAGAAGAACGCGUGUGAGAGUGGAAAGUUCACACAGGGAC
rnacentral:rRNA from 1 species